GAUGAACGCUAGCGACAGGCUUAACACAUGCAAGUCGAGGGGCAGCAUGAUUUGUAGCAAUACAGAUUGAUGGCGACCGGCGCACGGGUGAGUAACCCGUAUGCAACUUACCUAUCGAGAGGGGGAUAGCCCGGCGAAAGUCGGAUUAAUACCCCAUAAAACAGGGGUCCCGCAAGUGGGGAACUAGUUUGUAAAGAUUCAUCGCUGAUAGAUAGGCAUGCGUUCCA
rnacentral:rRNA from 1 species